CCUACGGGUGGCAGCAGUGGGGGAUAUUGCACAAUGGGGGAAACCCUGAUGCAGCGACGCCGCGUGGGUGAAGAAGCGCCUCGGCGCGUAAAGCCCUGUCAGCAGGGAAGAAAAUGACGGUACCUGAAGAAGAAGCCCCGGCUAACUACGUGCCAGCAGCCGCGGAAAUACGUAGGGGGCAAGCGUUAUCCGGAUUUACUGGGUGUAAAGGGGGCGCAGACGGCGAGGCAAGCCGGGAGUGAAAGCCCGGGGCCCAACCCCGGGACUGCUCUUGGAACUGCGUGGCUAGAGUGCAGGAGGGGAGGGUGGAAUUCCGGGUGUGGCGGUGAAAUGGGUAGAUAUCAGGGGGAACACCGGUGGCGAGGGCGGCCGGCGGGACGGCAACUGACGUGGGGGCCGGAAAGCGUGGGAGGCAAACAGGAUAGAUACCCUGGUAGUC
rnacentral:rRNA from 1 species